ACGCAAGGGAUUAAAAUCAAUCUGGUUGCUAAGAAUCUGAUAUCGUGAUUCAUCGCACACCGGUCCUCGGAACGCAAUGGCCAUUGGCCAAUGUUUUUGGACUCCACCACCCAGUAGCUGUAAUUUUUCCCUACCCUUGUACCAUAUAUAAUCAUAGGAUUUAAACUUGUACUUCCGCAAGAUCGUUUUCUUCAGAAUUUGUGGGGAAGCUUUGAAAAGACGCCAAAUCUUGUCGCUGACCAGCGACUAUCCCAUGGCCAGACACUGCUUGCCGGCGGUUGAGCUCACCGGAAGCGGUCGACCUGUGCUUCUCCCUAAUGAAAUUGAAUGUUAUCUUCUCUCCUCUGUAGAUCUUCUUUGCGAAGAUGAUCCCUCCAGUUCCUUUCCUCAUCUCAAAUCAGGCAUCCUCAUCCUCACCACCCACCGCUUACUGUGGCUACUUGAUUCCGCCACCGCCACUGGAAGCUCCGCCUCCGCGAUUCCUCUAGGCGCAAUCUCCCACAUUUUCACUCCCAAAAAAUCUCUCAAAUCCAUGUUUGCUUCCCCAAGGAUACGUUUCCAGCUCUCUUUAUCGUCAGAUGGUCGGGUUACUGACUCGGGUUCGAUAUCCAGAUCGGUGGUGGUGACGAUCGUCAUGAGAGGUAAGGGGGACAGUGAUGUUUUCUUGUCGAAAUUUUGGGAGAGUUGGCGGGCGAGGGCUUGGGAGUUGCAGAGUGAGCCGAGUUCAAGUUCUGGGUCAGGUUCGAAUGCUUCUUCUAGCGGGAUGUUUUCAAGUGAUGGGACCUUGAGGAUGGUGGGUGUAUCGGGAAUAUUGAGGAAGGAGCAGGAAAGUUGGGAGAGCACAGAUAGAACCUUGCAGGAAGCUUUCCAGGAUUUGAAUGCUCUCAUGAGCAAGGCUAAAGAGAUGGUGACACUAGCAGAGAAAAUGAGGCUAAAACUUUUGUCUGGAUCAAAUUCUCAAACCAAUGAAGCAAACGAUGAGGAGAUGGGUUCAAAGGAAGAGAUGCAAGAUUGGCUAUUGAGUGUUGGUAUUAUAUCACCUGUUACGAAAGAAUCUGCUGGUGCUUUGUAUCAUCAGCAGUUAUCUCGCCAGUUGGCAGAUUUUGUUAAAAUUCCACUUGACAGAGCUGGAGGAAUGAUCAACCUCAUUGAUAUCUACUGCCUCUUCAAUCGUGCUCGUGGCACAGAAUUGAUCUCACCUGAUGACUUGUUGCAAGCUUGCAUGCUUUGGGAAAAGUUUGAUGUCCCAGUGCUACUACGUAAGUUUGAUAGUGGAGUCAUGGUAAUACAGAAUAAAUCCCAUAGCGAUGAGGAGGUUUUUGCUAAAAUAAGGAUGCUUGUUCUGAAGCCUGAUGCUCUCCGAGCUGGGAUAAGUGCUGGUGAUGCUGCAAGGACACUAGGAGUUGCCCCGGCAAUGGCAAAGGAGCAUCUCCUUACUGCCGAGAGCAAGGGUUUACUCUGCAGGGAUAUUAGCCCUGAUGGGUUUCGCUUUUAUAUUAAUUUAUUCCCUGAUAUCAAUCAAGAUGACAUGCAUUUAGUGAAAGAAAAUGGAAUUUAUGCCUCAUGGAUAAAGGCAAGCCAUGCUCGUGGGUAGUAAAUGUUAGCUUCUUUUUUGCAAAUAAGAGUUUACAUUCCAGGAUUGAGCAGACAGACUUAAUACAUAUCCAAAUUGCUUCCCAAUCUAGUUAAUCAGCAGUGUUUGGGCUUCUAACUCUUCCUAUAACACUGUAAUGCACGCGAAUCCAAAUGCUGAAGGCUGGAAAGGUUGAGAGAGAAAAGGAAAACAAUCAGAACUGAAACUGCAUAUUUGGUGCGUAGCCAAGUGCAUCAAGGUGAGCAGCCAUGGCUCUAUUCAUUGCUGGUGGACCACACAUUAGUAUCUGCAAAAUGUAACAAUUAAUAAGGAUCAUAAUAUGACCGUGAAGCAAAAGCUUGUGCAAAAAUGAGAAGAGAAGAUUAAUAUCUCUAUUCUUGAAUUGUUAAUCUUCUUUAGUUUUAGUGUUUGAAACUUUGUAAAUGCAUUAGGGAAUCUCUGAAGAAAACACACUUGUUGCAGUUAAAUCUUAUUUUUUUAUUGACAAAAAGACUAAUAUUGAAACUGUUGGUUAUAUGAAAAGGAAAUUCAUUCCAAUUGUACUCUUUCUGAUCCAAAAUAUAAGCAUUAUCUUUCAGUUGAUUUUGGUUCAAAAUAUAAUUAACUUAGUAGUUGUAGAAAUGUUUUUCCCCUCUUACACAUUGCAUUUAUCAACCUAAAUUGUGUGAAUUUAUGACAUUCUUUUCACUCAUCAUUGAUAAUUGGGACUAAGGGUAAAAAAAAGGAAAACAAUAUAUAUGUUAUAUUAGAACAAGAAUUUUAUUGGUAUACGGAUUAUUGUUGAAGCAGUUUAUAUUUUGGACU